rnacentral:rRNA from 1 species
UCAAGCUCCUAAGGGCUCGGGGGGGAUGCCUAGGCGUCAUCCGCAAACCAGGCGUUGAAGGCUGCGAAAUGUCCGGGGGAGCUGCCAAACGAGCGAUCAUCCCGGAAUACCUGGAACAACCCAGGGAACUGAAACAUCUCAGUACCUGGAGGAAAAGAAAGCAACCGCGACUCCCUCAGUAGCGGCGAGCGAACGGGGAAAAGCCUAAACCCGAGGGGACACCCUCGGGGGUCGUGGGGCUGGCGACAUGGAAUGCGCGACUGUUAGCCGAAGUUGUCUGGAAAGUCACGCCAGAGCGGGUGAAAGCCCCGUAGGCGAAAAUGGAAGCGCUCCUAGCCAGUACCCGAGUAGGGUCGGGCACGAGAAACCCGGCCUGAAUCGGCGGGGACCCUCCCGCAAGGCUAAGUACGAGAUGACGACCGAUAGCGAACCCAGUAGGGCGACCGAAAGGUGGGAAGAACCCCGACAAGGGGAGGAUACUGAACCUGAAACCCCGUGCCUACAAGCGGUGGAAGGGCGUUAACGCCUGACCGCGUGCCUUUUGCAUAAUGAUCCGGCGAGUUCUGGUGUCCAGCAAGGUUAAUCCCUUCAGGGGAGGAGCCAAAGCGAAAGCGAGUCUGAAUAGGGCGAUGGGUUGGGCGCCAGAGACGCGAAACCAGGUGAUCUACCCAUGGGCAGGUUGAAGCGGCCUUAACCGGCCGUGGAGGACCGAACCCACCAGUGUUGAAAAACUGGGGGAGGACCCGUGGGGAGGAGUGAAAGUCUAAUCAAACCUGGAGAUAGCUCGUUCUCUCCGAAAUGGCUUUAGGGCCAGCCUCGGGCAUUAGCGUACGGGUGUAGAGCGACGGAAUCCGACCGGGGGCCUUCCAGGCUACCCGACGGAACCCAACUCCGAAGACCGUAUGUCCGGACCCCGGGAGUCAGAGCGCGGGGGAUAAGCUCCGUGCUCAAGAGGGAAAGAACCCAGACCGCCGACCAAGGCCCCCAAACAACGCUCAGUGGCAAAGGAAGUGGGAUCGCCGAGACAGCCGGGAUGUUGGCUUAGAAGCAGCCACCAUUUAAAAAGUGCGUAACAGCUUACCGGUCGAGCCAUCCCGCGCCGAAAAUGACGGGGACUCAAGCGUUGUGCCGCAGUCGCGGAUCGCGUGCGAUGGUAGGAGAGCGUUGCCAACCGCGUCGAAGCCGGAUCGCAAGGACCGGUGGAGCGUUGGCAAGUGCGUAUGCCGGAACGAGUAACGAUAAGAGAGGUGGGAAGCCUCUCCGCCGAAAGCAUCAGGUUUCCUGGGGAAGGUCAAUCCGCCCAGGGUUAGUCGGGACCUAAGACGAGGCCGACAGGCGUAGUCGAUGGACAGGGGGUCAAUAUUCCUCCACCCGCGUUGGCGGUCGAACCGCGGAUGACGCCGUGCUAGGUGAGGUCGGGGUGUUAGAUUACCCCGUGCCGCAAGGCCGACAGAUUGCUGGAAGCCUUACCAACACAUGGCCACGAAAAACUCCGUGGGGACAAAAACGCGGCCCGUACCGCAAUCCGACACAGGUAUGCAAGGCGAGAAUCCAAAGGCGUUCGGGAGAACCCUCGUGAAGGAACUCGGCAAAAUGACCCCGUACCCUCGGUACAAGGGGUGCUCCCGCAAGGGAGCCGCAGAGAAUCGGCUCUAGCGACUGUUUACCAAAAACACAGGACUCUGCUAAUUCGCAAGAAGACGUAUAGAGUCUGACGCCUGCUCGGUGUCGGUAGGUUAAGGAAGGCGAUCAGCGCAAGCGAAGUUGUCGACCGAAGCCCCGAUAAACGGCGGCCGUAACUAUGACGGUCCUAAGGUAGCGAAGUUCCUUGUCGGGUAAGUUCCGACCUGCAUGAAUGGCGUAACGACUGGAGCACUGUCUCCACGAGGGACCCGGUGAAACUGUAGCCGUGGUGAAGAUGCCACGUACCCGCGGUUAGACGGAAAGACCCCGUGAACCUUUACUGCAGGUUGGCAUUGGGCUAAUGUUCGUUCUGUGUAGGAUAGGUGGGAGGCUGAGAUCCGGCGGCGCUAGCCGUCGGGGAGCCAACGGUGAAAUACCACCCUGAAUUAACAUUGGUCCUCACCGGUCCACAUCCUGGGCCGGGACAGUGCUCAUCGGGCAGUUUGACUGGGGCGGUCUCCUCCUAAAGAGUAACGGAGGAGUGCAAUGGUGCCCUCGGCCCGGUCGGCAAUCGGGCAACACGAGCGCAAAAGUAGAAGGGCGCCUGACUGCGAGACCCAUCAGUCGAGCAGAGACGAAAGUCGGCUUUAGUGAUCCGGCGGUUCCGUAGGGAAGGGCCGUCGCUCAACAGAUAAAAGGUACUCCGGGGAUAACAGGCUGAUCUCCCCCGAGCGUCCACAGCGGCGGGGAGGUUUGGCACCUCGAUGUCGGCUCAUCGCAUCCUGGGGCUGAAGAAGGUCCCAAGGGUUUGGCUGUUCGCCAAUGAAAGCGGUACGCGAGCUGGGUU